AAAAUCGAGGAACGAGAUCACAUCUUUCCAUCAACUAAAAGAUGAGAGCUUAUAUUAUACAUGGGAAAGAUUUAAGGAGUUACUCAGAAGAUGUCCUCAUCAUGGUAU
rnacentral:snoRNA from 1 species